AGUGCACGAAUUAAUCAUAGACAUACAAAACAAUUGUUUUUAAUUUCAAAGCACUUUAGAGAUUUUUUUUAAAUGAACACUUGAUAUAAACUCCGAUCACUUUUGUAAUAUUAAACAAAUCGCAUCAACUUGAAAAUUUUGGCAUUGUAAGUUGCGUCAUUUACCGUGAAUUUAGGCUUUCAAAAUUAGGUUAUGUUAUACGUCAGUGUCAGAUUGUUAGAUUUUUUAAAUGGAAAUCCUGCAAAGUACGUUAAGUUUUCUGCUACCGAUAAAAGGAAAAUUUAGACGUUCAUAAAGCUAAUUCACCCAAACUUACUAACAGACAAAACGUUACGAAAACCAUAAAAUAUAACAAAAUAAUUAGUUAUUGUUCUUCCGAAAUGGCAGAAACCUUGUAAGAAAUUCAUUUAUACUGUCAAUGUUAAAAAUCACAAUGUUAAAAAUAACCAUUGUCAGUGGUUGUAGAGCGUCAUAGCGUGGCCCCAUGCCAAUUCGAGAGAGUUAUACAAACAGAAAUAGGGGAUAAUUACUUCCAGAAUUAGAUUAUAUUAACUAUGCGUGUUAAGGUCAAGUUUGUCUUUUAAUGGAAAUUCAGGAACCCAUUGGUUAGCACCAGUUAACUACAUAAAGAAAGAAAAAUGCGGACACCCGAAAAACUGCUUCAACAAAGUUAUGUGAAAUCUUAGUUUAUAGUCAAAACUAUAAACUGUCUAUGAGGGCAUCCAGUACCGUAGUCAAAACGUAACGAAAAAUGUAACAAAUUUUAAUAACUAUGAAAAUUAAUUGAAAACCAAUCAAUGUGCUGUGUUCUGUUCUGUCGAAAAUAUGUAUGUGCAUAAUACAAUCGAUAAUAGUUAAUAAUUAUUUACAGGUCAGUUCUUUUAGAUAGAGGAUUAUAACGAUUAUAAUGGAGCACAAAAGUAGUAAAAACUGAGUAGAGACAAAGAAUCUGAUGAAGUUGUUUAUGCUCUUGGACUUGUUGGUAACAUAACCCUUCUAAAUUGUUGUAUUGUGAUAACAAUUAUUAUUUGGACGUAGUCUUUAAAUAGUGAGUUUGUGCAAAACUUUUUGUAUGUUUAUAACGUACGUUAAAACUUUUUUUUCUUAGGAAUGUGUUAAUCUAGGCAAUACGAUAUCGAGUAAAAAGCUCAUAAUGUAACGAAGUUUGUAACAUUUGUGAUGCGCAAACUCAUUAAUAUCACCUAAUAUGUUUUCAAUGGGCUAGAAAUAGAAAUAGGAUGUAAAUGAAUAACAAAUUAAAUAAUUGUUCUACUUUGUCUUUCCCCGUUGUUGCGUCAGCGUGUAUAUUGUAGAAGGUCUUAGCAUGCCCCCAUGCCAACUCUAUAGGAUUGUACUGGCAGCGAUAGGGGGUAGCCUAAGAGCCAUGUUGUCGUAGGAUUUCGUCAAUUACAUAUGUUUUUGUUGUCGGUCUAAAUGUCUUUAUUAUUGUAUAUAAUUGUUUUUUUGUCAUGUCGUUGUCAAAGUUAAUGUUACGUCUUUUCAACCAUUCCUGCAUCUCACUUUUUUUGGAGGAAAAUGAUGGCUGUUUUUAAACAAUGUGCGGGUUUAUAGACAAAUAAAACACUAUCUCACUUUGAGUAUUUUAUUUGGAUCCGUUCGUUACAACGGUGAUCGACUAACUGACUAAUUUCGAUAGAAUAUCGCUAAAUCGUCAUUAACAAAAAGCAUCAGGUGAUCGCAAAAGGCGAACACACAAAGAAAGCAUAUCAGUUAGGUAACGUAUUAACAAAAACUAAUGAGUAAGUACAGUAAGUAAAUCCGUAACAACAGGCAUGGGAUGAUAUGGAGCACUGUCCAUAAUAAGAACGCAUUUUCCUCCAAUCUCGGUGAGAGCAGGUAAUAAUUGAUUUGUCGUCCACAGGGACGGCCGGGACACCGGGAAAUUUCCCGGUGGGCCGGUGCGGUUUGAGCCGCUGCGGGUCGGCCGAUGAGAGAUUUGAUUUUUUUUAAGUUGAAAAUAAAAAUUGUUUUUGUCUAAUGUUAAUAUCUAUGUGCAGAAACGAAUAUAUUCGCUAGUUCAUGAUUCACAACUCCCGUGUUUACAAUUACAGCCGUCGGCAUCAGCGUCUUGAUCUUGGAAUUGAUAAGACUCAAUGGACAUUGGAUACGACUAAAUAAUUAUACUUUUCGCAGAACAAUUUUAUUUGUUUUUUCAUUCUGUCAGGCUGGUAGGGGUAACACUUUUCAUUUCGAUUCUGCAAUUCAAUUUAACUAAAUGUGAUUCUGUGUCGAAUAAAUAAAAACAUACAUA